rnacentral:rRNA from 1 species
CAGUAGCCGCGGGAAUACGUAGGUGGCAAGCAUUGUCCGGAAUUAUUGGGCGUAAAGGGCUCGCAGGCGGUUUCUUAAGUCUGAUGUGAAAGCCCCCGGCUCAACCGGGGAGGGUCAUUGGAAACUGGGAAACUUGAGUGCAGAAGAGGAGAGUGGAAUUCCACGCGUAGCGGUGAAAUGCGUAGAGAUGUGGAGGAACACCAGUGGCGAAGGCGACUCUCUGGUCUGUAACUGACGCUGAGGAGCGAAAGCGUGGGGAGCGAACAGGAUUAGAUACCCCCGUAGUCCCUGUCCUUAUACA